rnacentral:lncRNA from 1 species
CAUGAACAAAUAAGGCACCUAUACCUGUUCUUGGAGCUGUGUCUGAACCUACAUUUGCAUAUGUAGAGCUUCUGCCAAGUUCCUAAGAAAAGGAGAAGGGGACAGAUGUAAAUUUUUAAGGUCAUGGUAUUUACCAUGCAUACAUUCCAGUGUAAUAAUUCAGAGAUAUUACUUGUUUUUGAACGGAGCAGAAUCAAUACGAUUAUUAGUAAAAAAUAGAGUCUGUAACAAUACUAUAAAAGUGCUAGUCUCCAAAGUCCACCAUGCCGCAAAAACAUUUAUCACCCAUUUAAAUAUGGAUUUGGGUUCAUAUAUACAGAAAGCGCAGUAAUUAUUGUGAAGUAAGAAAAAGAAUGCUCCUACUAUCAGAAAUAUAUGCCGACAAGAACACCAUCCUAUUAGAGCUCGAAAACAGGAACAGAGAAGGCACCUAUAGCUGUUCAUGGAGCUGUGUCUGAACCUCCAUUUGCAUAUGUAGAGCUUCUGCCAAGUUCCUGAGAAAAGCAGAAGGGGACAUAUGUAAAUUUGUAAGGUCAUGGUAUUUACCAUGCAUACAUUCUAGUGUAAUAAUUCAGAGAUAUUACUUGUUUUUGAACGGAGCAUUUCCACUGCUACCUAGUUGUACCUUCUUAAUGUCCGAGGAGGCCUCCUUGU